rnacentral:rRNA from 1 species
UCCGUAGGUGGAUAAUUAAGUCAGAGGUGAAAUCCUGCCGCUCAACGGUAGAAUUGCCUUUGAUACUGGUUAUCUUGAAUCAAUGUGAAGUGGUUAGAAUAUGUAGUGUAGCGGUGAAAUGCAUAGAUAUUACAUAGAAUACCAAUUGCGAAGGCAGAUCACUAACAUUGUAUUGACACUGAUGGACGAAAGCGUGGGGAGCGAACAGGAUUAGAUACCCUGGUAGUC